rnacentral:rRNA from 1 species
UUCGUAGGGGGCAAGCGUUGUUCGGAAUGACUGGGCGUAAAGGGUGCGUAGGCGGUGUAGCAAGUUAGAAGUGAAAUACCUAGAGCUUAACUCAGGUGCUGCUUCUAAAACUGCUAUACUUGAGUGCAGUAGAGGAAAGUGGAAUUCCUAGUGUAGCGGUGGAAUGCGUAGAUAUUAGGAGGAACAUCAGUGGCGAAGGCGACUUUCUGGACUGUAACUGACGCUGAGGCACGAAAGUGUGGGGAGCAAACAGG